GGUCACGAGUGACAGCGCAAAGGCCCCGGCUCGCUGUCCGGCAACCCUCCGUCCGAGGCGGGGUGCCCCGGGUGAUGACCAGGCUGUGAGCAGCAAGGCUCGCAGCAAGCCGGACAU
rnacentral:ncRNA from 2 species